rnacentral:rRNA from 1 species
AAUGAACGCUGGCGGCGCGCCUAAUACAUGCAAGUCGAGCGAGAAGACGUAGCAAUACGUUUGUAAAGCGGCGAACGGGUGAGGAAUACAUGGGUAACCUACCCUCGAGUGGGGAAUAACUAGCCGAAAGGUUAGCUCAUACCGCGUACGCUCCUUGGACUUCGGUUCAGGGAGGAAAGCGAUACCGUGGGUAUCGCGCUCUUGGUUGGGCUCAUGUCCUAUCAGCUUGUUGGNGAGGUAACGGCUCACCAAGGCUUCGACGGUAGCUGGUCUGAGAGGACGAUCAGCCACACUGGCACUGCGACACGGGCCAGACUCCUACGGGAGGCAGCAGUAAGGAAUAUUGCGCAAUGGGCGAAAGCCUGACGCAGCGACGCCGCGUGGGGGA